AACGCACAUUGCGCCCGGUGGUAUUCCGCCGGGCAUGCCUAUUCGAGCGUCAUUACAACCCUCACGCCCCGCGUGGUCUUGGGUCGAGCCCCCCGGGCUGGCCUCAAAAGCAGUGGCGGUGCCUCUGGGUCCUGAGCGUAGUAAACACUUCCGCUACAGGGCUCCCGAGCGCGCUGGCCGAACCCCAACUCUCCAGGUUGACCUCGGAUUAGGUAGGGAUACCCGCUGAACUUAA
rnacentral:misc_RNA from 1 species